AACGAACGCUGGCGGCAUGCCUAACACAUGCAAGUCGAACGAGACCUUCGGGUCUAGUGGCGCACGGGUGCGUAACGCGUGGGAACCUGCCCUUAGGUUCGGAAUAACUCCCCGAAAGGGGUGCUAAUACCGGAUAAUGUCUUCGGACCAAAGAUUUAUCGCCUUUGGAUGGGCCCGCGUUGGAUUAGCUAGUUGGUAGGGUAAAGCCUACCAAGGCGACGAUCCAUAGCUGGUCUGAGAGGAUGAUCAGCCACACUGGGACUGAGACACGGCCCAGACUCCUACGGGAUGCAGCAGUGGGGAAUAUUGGACAAUGGGCGAAAGCCUGAUCCAGCAAUGCCGCGUGAGUGAUGAAGGCCUUAGGGUUGUAAAGCUCUUUUACCCGGGAUGAUAAUGACAGUACCGGGAGAAUAAGCUCCGGCUAACUCCGUG
rnacentral:rRNA from 1 species